UACGAAGGGGGCUAGCGUUGCUCGGAAUCACUGGGCGUAAAGGGUGCGUAGGCGGGUCUUUUAAGUCAGGGGUGAAAUCCUGGAGCUCAACUCCAGAACUGCCUUUGAUACUGAGGAUCUUGAGUACGGGAGAGGUGAGUGGAACUGCGAGUGUAGAGGUGAAAUUCGUAGAUAUUCGCAAGAACACCAGUGGCGAAGGCGGCUCACUGGUCCGAUACUGACGCUGAGGUGCGAAAGCGUGGGGAGCAAACAGG
rnacentral:rRNA from 1 species